UAACAGUGGAUUUUGCCACCCUGAAUAUUCAACAUGGCGGCUGUCUGAAUGAGUUUUACCGGUCAAAGAGGACUUUACCGGGACAAUACUAUCCCAGGCCAGUCAGCAGGAGACACUGGUGUAGAGACAAAAGCCAUGCUCCCUCUCUGGCUUCCCACCAGAAAUUGUGGUCAUCAAAUCGCAUAACCAAGCCAAAGAUACCACUGCCAGGGUCUCUGCAGUGGUUGCUGCCAUCGAGCCUGCAUCCUCACGUAAACCUGAGCCUCUGGAUUUGGCCGCCUCCUGCACCUCACCGUCCAUUAACUGCCUGCUGAGGCAGGAUGAUGGGGAAGAUGACAUGAGGAGCCCAGCCAUGUGUGUGUUGGUACAUGACUGAUGGGUUUGGUGCCACAGUGUGACAGCUGCUGGGACCUCCUAGAGCAGGUGUGCAUUAGAAUGAAGGCAUGUUUCUGCGUGUGGAAUGCUGAAGUUGCCAAACGUCUCCUGUCAACGGUCCCUUUCACCUCACCAUCAGGGCAGGUAUCCUGUCACACGCCACUUCACUCUGUUUGUUUAGACAUCUGUGUGUUUUCUCGUGACGCAAUUGGUUCUUAUGUAACUCAUGUUUAUGGCAUUACAUAAAAUGCAGUCCUUUAUUCUAAAUUACAUUAAUGGCAACACGAAUAAUGUAUGUGACUCAUUCCUGUAUGUGCUUUACAGGUUUGCAUUACAUACAUUAACACAAUUUAAACUAAUUCCACUAUUUAGCCCCAGUCUGUCCCUCUGAUGUACUCUCAUUAUCGUAAAUUUACAGAUUUGUAAAACAAAGUAAGAUAGCAAGAAAAAUCCCUGCCGACCUUUAAAAAAAAGAAAGAAAAAAAACAAUUCUAAAAGAUUUUUCCGCCCAAUGGGAUCAAAAAAAUAUUCUGUCUUAAAACAUUCUUUAACCCCCAUUUUCCACCGGGCGCGUCUGCGCUGCAUUCCGGAGGCGCCGCAGCCGUUCAAGUCAAUGCUUUA